UCCUUCCCCCUGUGGCGCUUGCAAACGCCCUGUGAGCCUGCGGGCAGCAGCCCUGGGCUGCAGGUGGAGGGAAGCUCUCAAGAGCAGAGCCCCCUCUGAAUGUGACAAGGUGUGAGAAACUGGAAACUGCUGCGAGCUGCCCCGCGGUGCAGGUGGGAGCCAAGGCCACGGGGCUGAGAUGAGCCGCAGAUCCCCUGGCAAGCACCGGCUCUCUGACGCCGACCCCUUUGAGCGUGCAUCCAGGAGGAGUGUUGGGAGCGGGACCUCCCUGGAGACAGCUUUGCUGUCUCAGAUACUUUCCAUGGAGCUCUUCGAAGCUGCGUCCCCUCCCUGGGUGCAAAGCACACGGUGCUGGUGCUUGUGGGUGGUUUCCUUGCACUCUCCGGACCAUUUUCCAUCCCCUUCCCACCCCUGCAGCUCUGUAAUGCCCAUCAAAACCACGGGAGAUCCUCUCCUCGCUUUUGGAAGCGCUGCUGCCCCGCUUAGUGUCAUAGCAGAGGAUGCUCCAAGCGUCCCAGUGCUGCGUUUUAACUCCUUGUUGCCUGUUGUUAAACUCCAGUUGUGUGCCCUGUUUCCUUCCUGGUUCAUGCACCUCCCUAAUUCCCACCAGCAAACUGGAAACCAGCAGGGUACACGCGGUACCGGUUCAGCGUUCCCUCCCUGCAUCCCGGUUGUGUGCUGAGGAGGGGAGGAAAAGAGCUCCAUGGCGGGACAGCGUUGGUGGGGAUGAAGCAUGUGGCGUGUUUGCUACUGGGAUUCGCUGUUGCACGUCGUGUGGAGCCGAGAAUGGCAAGCCGAGCUGUCUGUUUAUCCACCAGCUAGGAAUUACCUGAGGGACUGCCCUGCCCGGUGCGCUCUGCUUCGUCAGGAAA